rnacentral:rRNA from 1 species
AACGAACGCUGGCGGCAUGCCUAACACAUGCAAGUCGAACGAGACCUUCGGGUCUAGUGGCGCACGGGUGCGUAACGCGUGGGAACCUUCCCUUAUGUUCGGAAUAACUCCCCGAAAGGGGUGCUAAUACCGGAUAAUGUCUUCUGACCAAAGAUUUAUCGCCUUUGGAUGGGCCCUCGUUGGAUUAGCUAGUUGUUAGGGUAAAAGCCUACUAAGGCGACGAUCCAUAGCUGGUUUGAGAGGAUGAUCAGCCACACUGGGACUGAGACACGGCCCAGACUCCUACGGGAGGCAGCAGAGGGGAAUAUUGGAAAGUGGGCGAAAGCAUGAACCAGCAAUGCCGGGAGAGUGAUGAAGGCCUUAGGGUUGUAAAGCUCUUUUAACCGGGAUGAUAAUGACAGUACCGGGAGAAUAAGCUCCGGCUAACUACGUG